rnacentral:misc_RNA from 1 species
UUUUUUUUUCUUCCUUUUUUUUAAAUCCUUCUCUAUGCACAUGAAAGUAUCCUAAAUGUGUUCCUUUUAUUCUUUUCCAAUGCUUGUUAAGGCUAGCUCACAGUCUGCUCUUCCAUGUUGCAAUUCUGCAAGAGGAAUGGUCAGAUGUAUAAUUCCACAUCAACCAAGACUACACUCAAGAAUAAUUAUAAAACAUUUUCCACACACUUUUGAUUUUUAUUAAUUUUGGUCAUAAAUUUUAAUAAUAAUAAUUAAUAUUACAAUCUUAGCUGGAUAGCAUAAUUUGACAUGGAUCAUCAUUACAAUCUUAGCUGGAAUGGCAGAAUUUGGAUGGAUAAUUUAGUAGCAAGUUCAUCUAUUGUUGAAAGCCACCUUUUUCUCAUGGGAAACAACAUGGGGAAAACAAAACUUCGUGGUUGUUGCUCUGUCCCAUCUUAAUAAUUUCUUACCUUUGGCAAAUCUGUUUUAUAUUUUGCCCAAAUAAUUAAGUACAUAGAUCUUGCUAUAUGUGUGUUGCUAUGUGGAUCAGUAGAUGCAAUAAACACAAUGCUUCUUAUCACAAGCAUGGAAUAUUCUACUUUGGAGAAAAAAUUUCCCCAAAAGGAAAUUGAGAAUUUAAAUCAUAAUUGUUUCCAAUAUUAGUAUUUCCUUCCAUAGAUAACCACAAAUUUUUUUUCUCCCUUUAUCCUUUGUCUCCACAUCCUAGCACAAGCAUGCUAUUGUUUUAAAGCUAACAGACUGGCAAUAUCUGUUACAGAUAAAAGAUGAAGUCAAGGAGAGAGACUAUGACAAAUCCAAGGCUACCCCAAAGACUCCAGCCAAGGAAAAUACUAAGCCCCAGGAAUUCAAACUUCACACAGAACAAAGAGCUUACAAACGUGCAAUGUUCAACUAUUCUGUGAGUAGGCUGAGUGACUUUCUAUCUCCUUUAAAUUUCAUGUAUAUGUGUGUCAUAAUUACAAGUUCAACGAUUCAGAUCCCGAUAACCUUCUACUUUUAAGAGUUUCCAAUAAGCCAGAAAAGAAAUUUUUGUUAUUGAUACAGAUUGCAACCAAGCUAUACCUCAUGGAGCUACAAAAGAAACAAAUAGAGAGGGUCCAAAAGAUCAUAGAAGAAGAGGAGAUCCGCAUGCUGAGAAAAGAAAUGAUUCCGCGAGCCCAGUUAAUGCCUUUCUUUGAUAGGCCUUUCUUUCCACAAAGAUCAAACAGGCCUUUGACAAUACCAAGAGAGCCAAGUUUCCACAUGUUGAACAGCAAGUGUUGAAGCCGCAACUCUGGGAAUGAAAACUACCAUUUUGAACAUGCCCAAGCUUUGGAAUUGCUAAAUGAAAGAGAGAGAUUUGUAAAAUGUAAUUUUGGUGUUCACCCAUCCCUGUGCAACAACAACAUAUCUGGUCAUAGAUUUCUUUUCACUACUUCUAUGAAGAGCGUGUUGACAUAUAUAGUGUAACUAUACAUUAGAUUUUUGUAGGAAGUGUGAUUAUUUGGCCUUUUCCAUAGCCAUAACCCAUCCUUUCAAUGGGUAAUUUGUGUCCUUUCCACAUACUAAUAACAU